UCGGGAAUUUUGGGCAAUGGGCGAAAGCCUGAUCCAGCAAUGCCGCGUGAGUGAUGAAGGCCUUAAGGUUGUAAAGCUCUUUUACCCGGGAUGAUAAUGACAGUACCGGGAGAAUAAGCUCCGGCUAACUCCGUGCCAGCAGCCGCGGUAAUACGGAGGGAGCUAGCGUUAUUCGGAGUUACUGGGCGUAAAGCGCGCGUAGGCGGCUUUGUAAGUUAGAGGUGAAAGCCCGGGGCUCAACUCCGGAACUGCCUUUAAGACUGCAUCGCUAGAAUCGUGGAGAGGUGAGUGGAAUUCCGAGUGUAGAGGUGAAAUUCGUAGAUAUUCGGAAGAACACCAGUGGCGAAGGCGACUCACUGGACACGUAUUGACGCUGAGGUGCGAAAGCGUGGGGAGCAAA
rnacentral:rRNA from 1 species